rnacentral:misc_RNA from 1 species
GAAUUGGUAUAUUCAUUGCAUUCUCUUAUCUGGGUGCGGGCACAAACUCAAGAAGCUCAUCUCUUCAUUUCACCACUCAGACGUGAGCAGCAGAGGAAGUAAGCAGCAAUUCAGUUUAUGCUUCUUCUCUGUCUCCUCUUUUCUUUCUUAUCUAAGAGCAGAGAGAUGUCUUUCAUGGAACUUGUGGGUCUGACUCCGAUAAUUUGUAGCUCUUGCAAAAGUAUUGCUACAAGGGUGAGCA